UUUGCACAUGGACUAUGAAUUCCUUGAAAAAAGCAUAAACAUUCUUGUAAUUUGCAGCAAGAGAAGCGCUGAAAUUGCUUAGAAGAGUAUGGUUACCUCCUGUAACUGAAAUGAAUGCUUUGGAAGCAUCAAAACCAGGAUAAGAGGUUGGAUAGAAGUGAAGCCGAAGAAACUUGUGACCUGGUGUUAAAUUGAAGGUGCAGGUAAAUUCAGAAAAGAAAAGCCUAGCAGUCUUGUAAGGAACUUGAGGGACUCCUGGGUCAAUGGAAGAGAUUAUAGAUGUCGCAGUGGAGUUAGUUUGCGAUUGCGAGAUGAAAGUUGCAUCAUUAGUCCAGUUCCGGCCAUCAAAGGACGAAGUAUGCAAACCAGAGGAACCACAAUCCAGUGCAACAUUUUCUAAGGGCUCAUAUGGAGGGUAAGCUGCAAAAACAGAUAACUUGAGAUGGAAGGUGAUAUACAUAAGUUGAAAGAUGAACACAGAGCAAGUUUUCAUGGUGGGUGUUUUAUUUAUUCUAACUUUGUCAUUUCAGUGAGGGACAGCUACUGGAGUUCUGCUACUAUAUUUACUUCCAAAGUCUUCCAAGUCAACGUCAACCGACAUCUGCUUGAAAUUUCCAUCCCAAGCCAGCUGUAACCAGUGGGACAAAAUGGUAAUUAUUGAUUGAAUUCUUACACUUUUUUUUCCCUCAGUUAUUCUUGUUCUAUUUUUUCCUCUGUGCGUCAAUUGUCGUUCAUUUCCCUCUUCACAAGUAUAUAUUAAAAUUUUAUUGUUUUAUCUUUUUUUUUUAUUUAAUAUAUGCGUUUCUCAAUAAUAAAUAUUCAUUAAUUAAAUCUUGAUAUAAACAAAAUUAAAGUAUUAACCUUUAAUUUUUCACUUAUACAUUAACUACUUACCUUAAUUAUUGAUAAAUAAUUUUAAUAAUUUUAAUACUUUUAAUAAAAAUUUAAUAUCAUUUAAUUUUUAACCGGAAUACUAAUACAAUGAUAUACUAGGAAAAACAAAACAAAAAUUUAUUUUAUAUAAAGUAAAAAUUAUAUUUUAAUGGUAUUAAGUAAUUUUUAUUAAUUUAUAUACAAAUCAAAUUAAGAAAAAACAUUAUGUAAUAUGAGGAAGUAUAAUUAGUCAAUUGUUUCUAAAAAAGAGUUAAUGAUAUUUCCAAUAAAUAUCAAAGUGCAAUUUAGGUGGUUGAAGAAGAGGAAAAAAAAAGAAUGGAAAGAUAGAAUAGUUGGAUAUAGAACCAACAUUACAUGUAAAAUAUCUAGACACGGUUGUCGUUUUAUUUCUUCAAAACCAUUGGUUAUAAUUAUAAAAUGAUGAAACCGGGACUAUGAAUUGCUUUUAGGUGGUUUGAAGACAAUUUUGGAACAAUAAAACAAAACAAAAAUUAUACUAAAAUUUGUUUUAAAAAAUAUAAUAAAACAAAAAACAAUAUUGAGAUUUUUUUAAAAUAUCUUUUCACAGUUUCAAAUCACAAUUGCUUAUUUCAAAUCAAAACUGCAAUUUUGAUUUAAAAAAAUGAAAAAUAAAAAACAAAUCAUUAAUACAUAAUUUAUGUUACAGUUUAGAAUUAAAAUCAUUAUUUUAAUGCCGACUUUAAUUGUAUCGAUUUCUACUCAAUUUUAAUUUAAUUCGAUUCGUGAUUAUCAUUAUGCAAAUCAUAAUAAUUCCGCUUACUCCAUAUAAAUACUCACAUUAUCUUCUUCUUCCUUUAAAAUAAGUAAAUAAAUAAUUGUGUCAAGGCCCUUUAAAAGUAGAAGUAAUUUCUAAUAAUUAAGAAUCAACAUAGAAAAAUCUAAAUAUUUACUUAAAAAAUCUAAAAUAUUUAUAUAUAAUAAUAAUAAUAAUAAUAAUAAUAAUAAUAAUAAUAUAUAAAUCGACUAUGAAUGUUGGUCGUGAAGAAGCGUAUAAACAGCAGUCAAAGCGUGGCUCCGGAGCCGGAAAGUAGUCAAUAAAACGCUUACAUGAAAAAAGUUGUUUGUCCUUUCUGCAAAAUUAUGAAACACCGAAAGUGGUAUCAGGCUUCUAAGACGAAGCGGAGGUUGUUAGACAUAAUAGAAUGGUAAAUAUUAAUAAAAAUAUUAAUAAAAAAAAAAUACCACUUUCGGUGACCAUUAAAAAAAUGUUAAUAGAAUAGUAAUCAUAUAUAAAAUAUUAAUAAAAAAAAAUACAGUUAUUGACUUUUUUUUUUUUAAUAUAUGAGAGACUCAUCUGACUGAAAUAACAUUACUAUCUAAUAAUUCUUUAUUGAAUUUAAAGAGGAACUUGAUUAACACGAAGGACAGUGGAUCAAGCUUUAGAAAUACUACCUUCAAAUAUCUUCAAUGUAUCCUUGGUAUUGCUCAAUCUUUACCCUUUUAUGCCUCUACUUUUUAUUUGAUUCCAUAACUUGUGCAUCCACCAACACUUCUUCUUCUUCUUCAACUGAGAAGAGUAAAAUUCUCCUCAACUGUGGAUCUGCUGAAUCUGUAUCAUUCAAUGGAAAAAAUUGGACUGGUGAUAGAGGCUCAAAGUUUAUGCCUCCAGAUUAUGAGAGAUCAACAACAAUUUCUGUAGCUUCAAGUCCAUUAAUUGUUGUGCCUGAGAUUCCAUAUUCUACUGCACGCGUAUUCCACUCGCACUUUUCCUAUGCUUUCCCCUUUUCUCCCGGAUUCAAAUUCAUCCGGCUUCACUUUUAUCCAUCGUCAAGUUACUUUAACGCUCGUUUUUCAGUGGUUUCUGGCCAAUACACUCUUUUAAACAACUUCAGCCCUCAUAUUAUGGCUGAGACUUUACAAUCGCCUUAUUUUACAAAAGAUUUUGUUGUUUACUUGAAAGAUAACAUAUUGGAUAUCUCUUUUAUCCCAUCAUCAUCACCCAGAGGAGCUUAUGCCUUCGUCAAUGGAAUAGAAAUCUACAACUUUCCAUCCAAUUUCUCCAAUUAUGCAGCCGUUAGUCGUAAGCCAGCCUUCGAGAUACUUCAUAGAGUAAUUAUGCGUACAGGAAGUGAAUUAUCUGACAAAAAAGAACAGUGGCAAUGGAUAGAUGACUCCAGCUUCAUUUUUGGUAAUUCUACUACAGGCAGUCUCAUUUAUGCAUAUGAAACGAUAAAGGUACUUUGGGGAUACAUGUCUGAGUAUGCUGCACCCACGUUUCUGUACGACUCAGCCCGCAUAAUGGGCAGUGAUGAUGCUGUUAACUUGAGCUACAACCUCACAUGGAGAUUCCUUGUCGAAACGGGUUUCAAAUAUCUUGUUAGGCUUCAUCUUUGUGAGAUUUCUUAUGACGUAACAGAGGUUAAUCAGAGAGUGUUUACAGUUUAUAUUAACAAUAGGACGGUGGAGAAAAGUUUGGACGUAAUUGCUCUGGCUGGAGCUCCAUUCGUUGCAAUUUUCAAAGACUAUGUGGUUAUGGUUCCAGAAGAAGAGACAGGAGAAACGAAUCAGAAAUUGUGGCUAGCUUUGCAUCCAAAUUCACAGUCAAAGCCUAAAUUUCAGAAUGCAAUUUUAAAUGGAGUUGAGAUCAUAAAAAUCAGUGAUGCAAACAACAACCUUGCUUCAAGCGUUCAAUCAAGAAUUGGAAAACCAAACAACAAGAUUCGACUCAUUAUGAUAAUCAUCGGAUGCGUUGUAGUUUGUUCUGGUGGGACUUUAAUUUUAUGUUUCAUACUUUACCGGCGGAGAAAAAUGAAUUCAGAUGACCAUUCAAAAGUAUCAGCUAUACCAUCAACCUGGCUCUGUUACCAAUUUAAAUUGUCAGAUAUCAAACUCGCCACCAACAAUUUUAGUGAAGCUCUAGUGAUCGGUGAGGGUGGUUUUGGUAAGGUUUACAGAGGUUCAAUAAAUGGAGGUACCACUCAAGUUGCUAUAAAGAGAAAAGGUCCAAAGUCUCAACAAGGGAUGCAGGAGUUUCUAACUGAAAUUGAUUUGCUUCCAACAAUUCAUCACAUGAACUUAGUCUCAUUACUUGGUUUUUGCCAAGAACACAAUGAACUAAUUCUAGUCUACGAGUACAUGCCAUGUGGCACUCUCCGCGAUCAUCUGUACAAGGGAAGUAACAAUCCACCAUUGUCAUGGAAUCAAAGGCUCAAGAUUUGCAUUGGUGCAGCUCGAGGAUUACAUUAUCUUCAUUGCGGAACAAAGAAUUCGAUUAUUCACCGCGACAUUAAGUCAGUCUACCAAUAUAUUGUUAGAUGAAGAAUGGAUGGCAAAGGUCUCAGAUUUUGGGUUGUCAAGGUUAGGCGCCAUUACAGCAUCAACCAGCCAUGUUAAAACUCAAGUGAAGGGUACGUUUGGGUAUUUAGACCCAGAAUACUACAGAACUAGAACACUGAGCAAGAAAUCAGAUGUUUAUUCUUUUGGUGUAGUGUUAUAUGAGGUACUAUGUGCAAGACCAGCUGUGUUGGUGGAAGAAGAGGAAGGUAAGGUUAGUUUAGCUGGAUGGGCUCUGGAAUGCAGUAGAAAUGGUACCAUUAAUUGCAUAAUUGAUCCUUCUUUGAGAGGAAAGAUUGCUACUGCUUCUCUCAUUGCAUUCGUGGAAAUUGCAGUAAAAUGCUUAUCAGUUCCGCGAACCCAAAGGCCAGCCAUGGGAGAUGUGGUUCAUAGUCUGGAAUUAGCAUUACAGGCACAAGAAAAUGAGGAUUGGAAAGAGGAAGUACAGAGUUAAGGGACGAAAAUUGAUAUCACUUGUUUUUUCUCUUGUUUCCAAUUAUUGUUGAUUGUACUAAGCUAGAAACCAGUGCAAGCACCAAUAGAAUAAUCAAAUCAAUCUAUCUCAACAUCUACGUAUUUUCUCUCUGUUUUCCCUUUCCUAUACUCUGUUCUUCUUUCUCUUCUCCUUUCCCAUUUUUAUUUUUUCUGUGCCUUCUUGUUCUUUCGGCUAGUCUUCUAUUUUAUGGUUUAAAUUUUAAAUCAAUAAUGGAGGAUGAAGAUGCAAUACUCCUACUUAUGGAGAAUCGAUUCAGGAAUCUAGAGAUCUGCAAUCGGCUAUGAGGUCUCCAGUAAAGCAAAAUAAGAAAGAAAAUUAUACCAUUCCAUGUACAAGAAAUUAUUGAUGUCCAGGAAGAUCUGAGCAAAAGCAUGAGUCGAAUGUGAAGCAUCUUGAAGGAAUUUAAAGAUCCGAUAUUCCAUUCGAAUGUUUCGAUUAGAGACGGUAGCUAUGAUCCAGAAUCCAAAGCAAUUCGUGUUCUUCAAUUCGUGAUGUUGAUGUGAAAUUCCCAAAUAGUAGAAAUUACGAUAUAACGUGGAACAAAUCUGGUUUUGUUCAAGAGAAAUUAAAACUAGAUUUUUUCUGAAACCAUAUUUAUUCUUUGUUCUUGGGAGUACUUUGGGUGAUGAGGCAAGUAAGAAAGAUAUUGGAGAUUUAUAUGGAAAAACAUGGUUCCACAGGUGUGCUGAUCAUCAAAUUAGGUGGCAGCAUGUGGUUUUGGCGAUGCUUAAAGAAGAUGAACCGGAGAUUUAGACGGGAUAGAAGAAUAUAAUUCUCUGUCAGAGAAAGAUGAAGGUGCUUGUGAAAAUGCCGAUAUGAAAUUCAAGAUUAAUAAGUGCUCUAAUAACACCUUGCUCAUGAGUUGAGGCAGGACUAGAAUGGGAAUGAUAUGAUGGACAAGGGUAAAUAUUAUGGUUUUGCUUGGUUGCGUCUGACAAAAUACUUCAAGUGGUCAUUACUAAGCAUGCAUGAGUUUAAAUUGCUACUCUUCUCUCAUUGCAUUCGUGGGAAUUGCAGUAAAAUGCUUAUCAGUUCCACGAACCCAAAGGUCAUCCGUGGGAGAUGUGCUUCAUAGUCUGGCAUUGGCGCUACAGGUACAAGAAAAUGCGGAUUGAAAGAGGAAGUAGAAAAUUAAGAGACUAUAAUUGAUAUCACUUUUUUUCUUUUUCAAUUUUUAUUGUUCUAUUAAGCCAGAUAUCCAUUCAAUAGUGUUUCUGUAAUGUCUUGCAUAAUUUAUUCUGAUUUUUGGCAGAUUCGUCUGUGACAGUUAAAUUACUCUAGACAGCAAAGUGAUUUUGACAGGAUAACUUGUGCUAUUAAUAAAUAAUUAUUUAUUUUUCAUAUGAUGUACUAAGGACAUAAUAAUUAAUAAUACACUUGUAAUAUCUAAAUGUUUAAUGUGAUUUUUGUUCUUGUCUUUUUUAGCUCGUGUUGAUGCUUUUUUUAUUCAUAUUAUUUUCUGUUUGUUAAGAAGAUUAUAUUCAUUGUCCUCAAUAAGCAUACACUCCUCUCUUUUUUUUUUUUUUCUCAAUAAGUUUUUCUUUAUCUAAGAAUAUUGCAGCCUGGAAUCAAAGUUUCACUUCCUCAGUUUAUUUAGUAAUGUCUCUUUCCUUGUGAGACAACAAGAAAUUUCUGAAAUGGUGAUGGAAAACUCGGUCAUUUAUCUUUUGGGUUGUUUCUGUUUAUAUUUCCUUCUGAUUCUUGGCAAGUUUCUUCACAAACAGUGGUUGGUGCCAAUUUGCAUACAGUCAAUAAUGAGGUCACAAGGAAUAAAAGGCCCUUCUUACAGAUUCCUCCAUGGGAACACUAAACAAAUAGCCAAAAUGAGAAAGGAAGCAAUUUACAAUCCUAUGGAAUUGUCACAUCACAUACUUCCAAGAAUUCAACCACACAUUUAUUCUUGGAUGAAGCUCUAUGGUAAUAUUAACCCUUUUGUUUUUUGAAUUUCAAUUAAAAGUCUAAUUAAUGCCCCUAAUUUUAUUGAUUAUGCAGGAAUGAACUUUCUUCUUUGGUACGGUGCAAGAGCUCAACUGACAGUUACAGAACCUGAACUGGUUAAAGAGAUUCUGAACAAUAAAGAAGAAACAUAUUGCAAAAUAGGGUUCCAAGAUUACAUUAAGAUGGUAUUAGGAGAUGGACUUGUGUUAUCCACAGGCGAAAAAUGGCUGAAGAUGCGUAAACUUGCUAAUUAUGCUUUUCAUGGAGAAAACUUGAAGGUAAUUACUUCCUUUUUAUGUUAUUUAAGUUGAACUUUAAGGUUUUUAUUAUGAAGAAAAUUAAUAGAUUUUCCUUGCAGGGUAUGGUUCCCGCAAUGCUAGCAAGUGUGGAAAUGAUGGUUGAAAGAUGGAGACAUCACGACGGAAAGGAGAUUGAAGUAUUUCAAGAAUUCAAGGUUUUAACAUCAGAAAUAAUCUCAAGAACAGCUUUUGGAAGCUCCUAUUUGGAAGGAGAGGAAGUAUUUGAUAUGUUGAAGAAGAUGAUCUUCAUUGUUGCAAGAAACCACUAUAAAGUGAGAAUUCCUUGUCCAGGAAUUAAGUAAGCUUUCUUUCCCUACUCCUUUUAAGUCACUCUUAAUUUGGGAAUUGUAUGCAAUUCUUGGAACAGGAUUUCAUAUUUUUCAUAUUGGUUCAUAAGAAAUCUUUUUUUAUUUUUUAUUUUUUUGAUAUUUCUAUAUUUGACGAGGACUUCAAUAAAAUCUAUUUUUAAUUAGAAUUCUAAUAUAACAAACAAAUUUUAUUAAUUCUUUUGAAAAAUAAACUUGCUAUUUUUUUGGUAUUGAAACAUCCACUAUUUAUUGUUUCAGAAGAUUUCUGAAAACAGGGGAUGAACUUGAAUUGGAUAAAAUCCAAAAAGAGAUAAGAGACACCAUUAUCAAUAUGAUAAAGAAAAGAGAGAAAGCAACAAUGAUGGGUGAAUUGGAUGGCUAUGGUAGUGAUUUUCUUGGAUUACUUAUCAAAGCUUAUAAUGAUCCUGAUAAGAAUAAGAGAAUAUCUAUAGAUGACAUGAUUGAUGAAUGCAAGACUUUCUAUGUCGCUGGACAAGAAACUACUGCAAGCUCACUUACUUGGACAGUUCUUCUUCUAGCAAUUCACACAGAUUGGCAAGAUGAAGCUAGAAAAGAGGUCCUUGAACUAUUUGGCCAGCAGAAUCCAACUGCUGAUGGGGUUGCAAGAUUGAAAACUGUAAGUAAACCUUAGCUAGGGGCAAGCAUUGGUCAGUUUGGAUAAUAAAGACUGAAGAAAACCAAAAUAACUGAAAUUUCAUUAAAAAAAUAUCAUUUCAGUCCUUUUUUUUUUUCUUUUGAACCAAAUUGUGCUCGCCUUUAGUAUUAUCUACUAACUAAAUUUAUGAACUUGUUUGGGAUGACACAAAUUUAUUUUCUCCAAUGUUUUUCUCCUUUGCAGAUGAAUAUAAUCAUUAAUGAAUCUCUAAGGCUAUAUCCUCCAGUCUUUCAUGUAACAAGGGAAGUCCAAAGAGAAGUCAGACUGGGGCAACUAAAUAUUCCAAACAAGAUAGAAACAUAUAUUCCAACACUAGCACUUCACACAGACUAUAAAAUAUGGGGAGAAGAUGCUUAUCUUUUUAAACCAGAAAGAUUUGCAGGAGGAGUGGCUAAAGCUACUAACAACAGUGUCUCUUCAUUUCUUCCUUUUGGUUUGGGACCCAGAACUUGUGUUGGCUUGAACUUUGCAAUUACAGAAAAGAAAAUUGCUCUUUCAAUGAUUUUGCAGCGCUACAAGUUCACUCUCUCCCCUUCUUAUGUACAUUCACCUGUUCAAAUUCUCACAAUGUGUCCACAACAUGGAGUUCAGGUCAUUCUUGAGGCAUUGUGAAGUAGAAAACGAAUUUGCAUUUUUUUUUUUUUUUUAAAGUAUUGAGGGAAGGGAUUCAAAUAUAAAUUUAUUUUUAAGUCGUAUAUAUAUAUACUUACCAUUAGGUUAUGUUUUGGUGUGCAGGAAUUUACAUUUAUGAAUGUGGAAUACCAGACUAUGUGUUGGUGCACAGGAAUUUGCAGGAAUUUGCAUUUAUGAAUGUGGAAUAUAAUACACACCAACAGUACCAGCACACACUGCACCUGAUUUAGUUAGUAUACGGCACUGCUCGUUUCAUGGGUUUUGAUCCUAGAAUCAAUUUACAUUUUAACUUAAGUUGGUUUUUUCCUGUUGAGACCGGAUUUUUAUAUCUUGUCAGGCUCCAUUUCUGUGAGCUUGAUAGGAGUAUAACAAAAAUAAACCAGAAGGUAUUUUCUAUAUAUAUGAACGAAGAAACGGCUCAGGGUCAAGCAGAUGUUAUUGCGUGGAGCGGUGGGCAAGGUGUUCCAGUCUACAAAGACUAUGUCGUAAUGAUCCCACUGGGAAAAGAAGGGAUUCAGAAUCUUUGGCUUGACCUGCACCCUAACACAGAAACCAAGCCUCAAUAUUAUGAUUCUUUCUUAAAUGGAAUAGAGAUAUUCAAAUUAAACAAUUACGGUGGAAAUCUUGCUGGACUUAAUCCUCCUCAAAUGCAGAAUCAGGAGGGAUCUUCUGUAUCAUCAUCAACCAGUUCAAAGAAAAGACUAGUCAAAAUUAUUGGAGUUGUCAUGGCAUUUAUUAUAGUGUGCUUUCUUGCUUUCUGGAUCAGAUUAGCCAAGCAAACAAAAAAGAAAACGAACAAGUAUGUAUUGAUUUUGUAAUUUAAAUAACUCAAUUAUUCUAAUUUAAAUAAGAAGUCAUACCUUCAACUUUGUUCAGUUUAGUUCUUGUCUGAGCUUUUAGUAUUAAAAAAAAAGAAAAAAAAAAAGUGUGUUCAUGGCUGCCACCAUUUAUGACAAGCUGUCAUGCCUUCCGUCUACUUUCAGCAAUACAUUGGAGAUGUUUAAAAAGAGAGAGUAAUUCUAAGGCUUCAUCCACUAUCCUUAAUUUAUGUUAAUCCAUUCCCAUCUUUCACAAGUCAAUAAAAUUAAUUUAUCAUAUUAAUUUUCUAUGUGAUUAUUAUUUAUUAAUACAUUUUGAGUAGGCUGUUGAACAAAAGUCCGUCAGCGUUUGGGUCGGUGAGAGGAUUUUUAAUUAUUUAUUACUAUUUCCUAUUCAACAACCUUAAUUAAAAUUUCCCUUUAUUUUCUUAGAAUUUUUUUUUUUUUUGGAGAAAUCAUUUUCUACUUUCUGAGUGGUUAUUGUUAAACUUUUUGUAUGACCCAUUUUAAGAAUUCAAUGGCCUAUAGCCUAAACCAAGUAGCCAAGGUUUAGACUGAGUUGAUUACCCACCCAUGAAUCAAAUCAAUAGAAAUAAAAACUUUUAUUAAAAUAGGGUAUUUCUGACUAUAAAUUAAAAAUAAAAUAAAAAUUUUUUAAAAAUUCUUAUUUACUUUUAUUAAAAUAGGGUAUUUCUCUUUCAUCAUCUAAUAACUCCAUAUAAAGCAUUGAACUGAUAAGAUUAUCAAUGCAUAUGCUCAGACAUUUAUUUUGUUUUUACCUCAUCAAUUAACAAAUCAUAUUCUUCCAAGUGUCUUAAUGAUUUAUGAGACAUAAAUAAUCAUAUGUCACUUAAUUUUCCUUUAACUUGAUUUUUUAAGCUACACUUUAUUAUAUUUAGAAUCAAAUGAAAUUGAGACAUUCAAAUUACAAUUAAAUUAAGUAACAAUUAAAUAAGUCAUAUUUUUUAUACUUGAAAAUUAAUUCUACAUAUAAAUUUCACUACGCUAAUAAGUGCAUUAAAGAAUAAUUAGGUUGUGAAAUACAUAAAAAAAUCGUGAAUAUUUUCUAGAAUUUUGUGUAUAUAAAGAUUGUUAAAUUAGAUGAAUUAAAAAUUUAAUCAUGAAUUAGAAAAUAAGAAUUAUUGUGAUAGGAAAUGUCCACUGAACAUAUAUUGGAAAUUUAACCACCAAACACGAAAAUAAGCAUUUUGUUUACAGGUUGAGUGGCAAAAUGGUGAAUAAAUAGUAAAAAAACAAACAAACAAAGUUUUGAACCCAUGACUUACACAUAAUUAAUGACUUUACAAGUAUUCUUUGCCACUAGACUAACUUCAUUUAAACUUGUUUUAUAUUUUAUUAAGUCACAUUUAACAAUUAAAUUAAAUUAAGAAAUUCAAAUUGAAAUUUAAUGAUGUAACAAUUAAAUAAAUCAUUUUUGUUCACACUUGAAUUAAAUUAAAUUUAGAUAAUCUAAUCCAAAUUAAAUUACGUUACACCUAAAAUAAAAUUAAACUAAGUAACUAUUGAUUAUGUCACACUUGAAAGUUAUAACUCAGAUGACAUAUAAACACACAUUUUUGACAUGAGGAUAAGUAAAAUCUCAUGAUUAAUCCUUGUACAAAUCAUUUUGACAUGUAUUAUACAUUUUCUUAUGAUAAGUCUAUAGAAAGUUCUCUACAUAUAAAUUUUAAUGUAUAUAGAUAAAGAAAAAAACUUGGAUGGUUAAUUUACACCUAUUAAAUCAUAUUUAAAAAUUAAAUUAAAUUAAGAUAUCUAAACUAAAAUUAAAUGAAAUAACAAUUCAGUAGUCACGCUUGAAUCAAAUUAAUUAGGCAAUCUAAUUUGAAUUAAAUUAAGUCACCCCUAAAAUUAAAUUAAAGUAAAAUACCCUAAUUGAAAUUAAAUCAAGUAGUCGUUCUCAAAAAAAAAAAAAAAAAAAUCAAGCAGUGAUUGACGAAGCCUCGUACUUAGAACUAAAUUAAAUUAAAAGAAUCAAAUUGCAACGAGAUUAAGUAACAAUUAGUUAAAGUUGCACUUGAUCACACAAUAAUUAAAUUAAAUUUAGUCAAGUUAAAAAUUUUUCGAUUAGGCAUGAACAAUUGUAGGAUCCAUACUUUGGUUAAAAUUUUUAUAUAGAAUUUAGACUUAAAAAUUUUUAUUAAAAGGAUUCAUAUGCUAGGAUUUGUAUCCUCUCAAAUAAAUUAAAAGGACAUUCACAUAAAGUUUUGUUAAAAUUGGAUCGGAUUGACCGGUCGAACCAGUUAAACCAAAAUCAAUUGGUUGUUCGAUUCCAUUAUCAACUUGGACCGAUUUUUGAAAAAAAAUGAUUUUUUUUAGAAAAUCAGGUUGAACCAGUGAUAAAACCGGACAAAACCAGAUUUUCUUAAUAAAAACUGACUUUUUUUGGAAAAAAUUGAAUUUUUUUUAGAAAAUUGAGCUGAAAAUUAUUUUGUUGCUAUAUAUAUUCACACACAUAUGUAAAAAUAUUUAAAAAAAUAAAAAAUUAAGAAUCUAGUUGAACCCGUCCAACUCGAUCCAACCUUGAUCUGGUCAUGAUACCGAUUCAGUUGUCAGUCUAACUUAUAAGUACUUGGGUGUUGUUCAAUCCUUAUAGAAUUCAUUUUAGACUUUAAAUUUUUAUCAUGCACAUAAAUUAUUUUGAUUAACUUGAAUCAAAUUAAUCAUGACCAAUAAAAAGGAUGAUGUCAAAAACAAUUCCUUUUAAAUUAAAAUUUAAUGAUUGUCAUCAUUUUCAACAAUAUAUAUAAUUAAUUAUAUGAUAAAGUGAAGUAAAAUAAUUAAUUGUGAGAACCGUAUUUAAUGCAUAUAUUUUCCUCAAAAAUUAAGUUUUUUUCCCUCCCAUUUAUCCAUCCAAAACUACUCAAGAUUUUAUAUGUCAUUUAAAGUGUUAUGGUCCAGAAUCGCCAGAAACCAAAUAACACUACUCUUUUAUAUAUAUACACGUGUGCGCGUGUAGAAUUAAUUAUACUUAAAUACCAAACUUUAUUUUCUUACACACAAAAUUCAUUUUAUCUCCCAAUUGGCAUCAUUAUCUCAGAAAAUUCAACUCCUAGAGUCAAAUCCGAGUUACCGGAAAUCACUUUCCUAUCCUCACUGUUGCCAUGAAUUUGCAAUUCCAGUGCCAACUCUAAGCUCCAAAGCACCUGGCUUAUCGAUGGCCGAUCCAGCCCCUGCUCCGCCAAGCAUUUCUGGGUAAUCUCCAUAAACUUUGCAAGAGAUGCUGGUGUAAUCUUACCUUCCAAAUGAGGAUCAAUGAGAUUUUCCAAAUCUCCCUUUUCAUAACAAUUUAAGGCCCAUUCAACAAAACUUACAGCAUCUUCAUUCUCCUCAUUGUCAUUAGAAUUAUAAUUCACCACAAACUUGGCAGAAAGUACCUCCAACAGAACUACCCCAAAAGAGUAUACAUCAGAUUUAUCUGUUAAUUUAAGAAGACGACAGUAUUCCGGGUCUAUAUACCCAAUACUACCCAUAACUUUGGUGCUUCCAUUAGUAGGGUCUAUUUUAGACAAACCAAAAUCUGCAAUCUUGGCCACCCAAUUCUCAUCCAAGAGGAUAUUGCUGGUCUUGACAUCGCGAUGGACUAUCUGAAACUUCAUUCCUGUAUGCAGGUAGCAUAAGCCCUGUGCGGCUCCAAUGCAUAUAUGUAGCCGUUGGUUCCAAGAAAGAGGCAUCUUUUGCUGUUCAUCAGAAAAAUGAAGGUGCUCGAACAGAGUACCUUUAGGCAUAUACUCAUAUACCAAGAUCAUCUCCUGCUCAUCACUGCAAUAACCCAUCAAAGAAACAACAUUUUGAUGACGGAGUAGAGAGAGUGUUUUGAUUUCUGAUUGAAAUUCAUUAUGACCUUGUGCCUUAUUGCUACGCUUAACCGCAACUGUAGUUGUUUCGCCAUCAAUAUAACCUUUAUAAACCACACCAAAUCCUCCGGUACCAAUUAUCCUUCCCUCGUCAAAGUUAUUCGUGGCAGCUUUGAUCUCCUUCAUCGUAAAAUAGCGAAAUGGUGACUUGUUCUUCUUCUUUGCUCUUUCGUUUGCUACUCGGAUCCAGAAAGCAAGGGAGCACACUAUAAUAAAUGCCAUGACCAACCCACCAGCUGAGCCUCCAAUAAUUUUAGCUAGUCUUUUCUUUGAACUUAUUGUUGAUGAUGAUAUAGAAGAUGAAUUAACUAGCGGUCCCUCAUGAUAUUGUAAUUGAGGAUUAUUAGGUACAGCAAGAUUUCCGCCAUAAUAGUUUAAUCUGAAUAUCUCUACUCCAUUUAAGAAAGAUUGAUAAUAUUGAGGCCUGGUUUCUGUGCUAGGGUGCAGGUCAAGCCAAAGAUCCUGAAUCCCAUUUUUUCCCUGUGGGAUCAUUACGACAUAGUCUUUGUAGACAGGAACACCUUGCCCACCGCUCCACCCAAUCACAUCUGCUUGAGGCUGAGCCGUUUCAUUGUUCAUAUAUAUAGAAAAUACCUUCUUGUUUAUUUUUGUCAUAUUCCUAUCAAGCUCACAGAAAUGGAGCCUCACAAGAUACAAGAAUCCAGUCUCAACUGGAAAAAACCAACUUAAGUUAAAAUUUAAAUUGAUUCUAGAAUCAAAACCCAUGAAACGAGCAGUGCGGUAUACUAAAUCAGGCGCAGUGUACGCUGGUACCAUUGGUGUGUACUUGACCUGAAGACCGUAAUCGUAUGCUAAUUGCCCAUCAGCAGCUCCAUACAAGUAUUGAUCGUCUUUUAUCCAAGUGCGAAACAUCCCUGUAUCUGAUUUAGGAGAAAUGUCAUCGCCGCCUACAUUUAUUCUGUAAACUGUUUCAAGUGCAUAUGUGGUAUCUAGUCUGAUAGGAUUAUAAGGAUACCCAACAAAAGGAAGAGGAACAUUUUCACCCCGUAUGUAGAGAUUCAGAGGCAUUGAAACAAGUUCAAUCCCAUUCACAAAAGCAAAUGCAUCAGAAGCAUUUGAAGAAGGGCUAAAUGUUAGUCGAAGCGAAUGGUUUUGCACAUGGACUAUGAAUUCCUUGAAAAAAACGUAAACAUUCUUGUAAUUUGCAGCAAGAGAAGCGCUGAAAUUGCUUAGAAGAGUAUGGUCACCUCCUGUAACUGAAAGGAAUGCUUUGGAAGCAUCAAAACCAGGAUAAGAGGUUGGAUAGAAGUGGAGACGAAGAAACUUGGGACCUGGUGUUAAAUUGAAUGUGUAGGUAAAUUCAGAAAAGAAGAGCCUAGCAGUCUUGUAAGGAACUUGAGGGACUCCUGGCUCAAUGGAAGAGACCAUAGAUGUCGCAGUGGAGUUAGUUUGC
rnacentral:lncRNA from 1 species